rnacentral:rRNA from 1 species
AUUGAACGCUGGCGGCAGGCCUAACACAUGCAAGUCGGACGGUAGCACAGAGAGCUUGCUCUUGGGUGACGAGUGGCGGACGGGUGAGUAAUGUCUGGGGAUCUGCCCGAUAGAGGGGGAUAACCACCGGAAACGGUGGCUGAUACCGCAUAACGUCGCAAGACCAAAGAGGGGGACCUUCGGGCCUCUCACUAUCGGAUGAACCCAGAUGGGAUUAGCUAGUAGGCGGGGUAAUGGCCCACCUAGGCGACGAUCCCUAGCUGGUCUGAGAGGAUGACCAGCCACACUGGAACUGAGACACGGUCCAGACUCCUACGGGAGGCAGCAGUGGGGAAUAUUGCACAAUGGGCGCAAGCCUGAUGCAGCCAUGCCGCGUGUAUGAAGAAGGCCUUCGGGUUGUAAAGUACUUUCAGCGGGGAGGAAGGCGACGCGGUUAAUAACCGCGUCGAUUGACGUUACCCGCAGAAGAAGCACCGGCUAACUCCGUGCCAGCCGCCGCCGUAA